AACGAACGCUGGCGGCAUUCCUAACACAUGCAAGUCGAACGAGACCUACGGGUCUAGUGGCGCUCGGGUGCGUAACGCGUCGGAACCUGCCCCCAGGUUCGGAAUAACUCCCCGUUAGGGGUCCCAAUUCUGGAUAACUUCUCCGCACCAAAGAUUUAUCGCCCGUGGAUGGUCCCGCGUGGGGUUAGCUAGUUGGUAGGGUAAAAGCCUACGAAGGCCACGAUCCAUAGCUGGUCUGUGAGGCUGGGCAGCCACACUGGGAGUGAGACACGGCCCAGACGCCUACGGGAGGCGGAAGUGGGGAAUAUUGGACGAUGGGGGAAAGCCUGACCCAGCAAUGCCGCGUGAGUGAUGAAGGGCGUAGGGUUGUAAAGCUCUUUUACCCGGGAUGAGAAUGACAGGACCGGAAGAGUAAGCUCCGGCUAACCCCGUG
rnacentral:rRNA from 1 species